UCUCCGUUGGCGAACCAGCGGAGGGAUCAUUACCGAGUUAUACUCCAAACCCUUUGUGAACCUACCAUUUGUUGCUCGGCGCGCAGCGGGUUGGCCUAACCGCCGCCCGCGACGCGCCAGAGGACCCAAACUCUUAUCUUAUAGCGUACCUUCUGAUUAAAAAGACAAACAGUCAAAACUUUCAACAACGGAUCUCUUGGUUCUG
rnacentral:misc_RNA from 1 species